GUGGCCUUACAACUUACUGCCAGUGUUAUGGCAGAUGUUUUGUAUAUUUUUGGUACUAAUUCUACACAUAAACUAAUCCUUUCUGCUGAAUUAUUAUUGCAGCUUAUCCUCAGCCAUUUGGCAGAACCGUAAUGAAUCCACCAACUUCAAUCAGAAACACGUGGAAGAGCUGAUCAAAGAAGAGAAACAAAAAGAGAUUGAGAGUGAAAUCAGAGUCCAGGUGGAUGAGCUGAUGAGGGAGGAACUGAAGAACCUGAGACUGGCUGUGGUCAGAGACUCUGGCACAAAGGGAAAGGGUGGCAUAAAGAGGACUAUACUGUCUUUGUACCAAGAGCUGGUGCAGUAAGGGAUAUUGAAUCAGGCUGAGAAAGCGACGUUGGCUGAGUACUUAGAAAAAUGGUGGUGUGAUCACCAGUGCUCUAAACCUGAGCUCCUUGACUAAGAUCUCAGACAGGUAUACACAGGGUCACAUAAUGAAGGCUGUCAAGGCACUCCUGACUGAACGGAGGAUCGAUCAACUGGCCAAGAAGCCGCUGACCGGAGCGGAAGCUGGUAUGCUAAAACUCCUCUUGGAAAGAAAUGAGCCAUGGCUGCCUUGGGCAAGGAUGAAGAGAAAGGGAAAGGCAAAGGUGGCAAAAAGAAGAAAAAAUGAAAAGCAUGAUGCAAAUUAUACAAAAAUACAAUUUUUCUUACAAAGUAUGUUUAUGGUUCAAAUAUAUUUAAAAAAAUAAAUAAUAAUAAUAAUAAUUAAUUUAUCAAAAAAUGCAGGUCUGUGUUUCUUAUAGAAUUCCCCUGGCCAAUGUAACUGAGUGGCACUGAAAUAAUAAAAUUAACUGGCAACCAGUCAACAAGAUUUCAGUAGAUCAUUCCUGUUUAAUUAAUUAUUUAUUUAUUCCUUACAGGUCUAUUCUAAACACCUUUGCAUGUUCUAAUGCUUCUAAACAGACAGAAUGUAAUUAAACCAAGCUGAACUGAGAAUUUGGUAUUCAAUAUGUUGUCUUCUUAGACAAGA